GAACUGAUGGAGACAUCAGCUGCAGCGUGAAGAACCACGUCAGUCACGCACAGAAGACCAUUAGACUCAAACCCUGUCCUGCUGAUGGUUCUGUUGGGUCUGUUAGGAGCUUUUCACAUCUACAUGAGACACACGUCAGCAAAGAAACAGGAAGAUCAGAAAGUGAGGAUGAGAAAGAUUGAGAGAAGGACAUGAAGACACAGCAGAAGAUUCAUGAGAGUAGCAGCAGAUCAUCACAUCUAUUUACACUAUAAUCUCACUGAUUCUCACAUCAAUCCAGCUUUCAGAUGUCGAAUAAAACCAGGAGACAGAAGAAGCUUUCAUAAUCAACACUGAUCUUUACAUGUGUUGUGUUUAUUUCUUGUCGAGUAUGUUGAUGUAUCUCCGUGAGAAUUAUUUCUGUCCGAUCUGAAUCUGCUUCUCAUGAAAUCACCAUUUAAACUCAUUUAGAGGCAGAAUUACAGACUUGUGAUGAAUGAAUAAACCAGACUAACUACAGUUUAGUCAUGAAGGUAUUUUUAAAAUUGUCUGUUGUACAUUUGUUUUUGCAUUAGUUUUAUUAAUUUGUCAUCGUGCUUUGACUGAACUAACAGUAUUUUUGUUUCAUCACAUGGAACACCUUUUGUUCAUUCAUGAUAAAACUCUUCUGGCCGAUUGUGACGUCAUUCUGUGUGUUUAUUUUCUAGAGUUAUUUCACAUUUCUGUUUUUCAUUUUGUAUCUGUCUCUUCUGUGUCAGAUGAUUUAACUGUUCACAUCUGUUUCUCUUGAUCUGUGUCUCAGUUUUAGGUUGUUACUGUUAAAAUUAAAUAAUAUUAAAUAUGAUCUUGAC
ensembl:lncRNA